rnacentral:rRNA from 1 species
AGAACUUAGCAGAGAUUGCUUUGGUGCCUUCGGGAACUCUGAGACAGGUGCUGCAUGGCUGUCGUCAGCUCGUGUUGUGAAAUGUUGGGUUAAGUCCCGCAACGAGCGCAACCCUUAUCCUUUGUUGCCAGCGGCUCGGCCGGGAACUCAAAGGAGACUGCCGGUGAUAAACCGGAGGAAGGUGGGGAUGACGUCAAGUCAUCAUGGCCCUUACGGCCAGGGCUACACACGUGCUACAAUGGCGCAUACAAAGAGAAGCGACCUCGCGAGAGCAAGCGGACCUCAUAAAGUGCGUCGUAGUCCGGAUUGGAGUCUGCAACUCGACUCCAUGAAGUCGGAAUCGCUAGUAAUCGUAGAUCAGAAUGCUACGGUGAAUACGUUCCCGGGCCUUGUACACACCGCCCGUCACACCAUGGGAGUGGGUUGCAAAAGAAGUAGGUAGCUUAACCUUCGGGAGGGCGCUUACCACUUUGUGAUUCAUGACUGGGGUGAAGUCGUAACAAGGUAAGCGUAGCGAG